UGUUUUUCUGAAGGGGUUGGUCACAGAUCUGCCAGUUCAGAUCAAAUCACACGUUUUGUUGCCUGACUCAGGACUCAAACCAGUGACCUUUCAGUUACUGGACUAAUUCUCUAUCUUCCACCUUCUGACACUUCUAGCAUGGGCUUCCUAGGCAAAGUUCCCUUUACACUAUCCCAUGUGCGUAGCAAACAUGAGUCUGUCUUAUGACCUGUUAAUGAGGUAGUCCUGCGUGCAACUUUAAAAUCAGUGUCACCCUCAGCUCAAGAGGGCAUUACCUCUUGGUCUAAUGGUCAAGACACUGGUUUUUCCCAUGGGAGGCCCAGGUACAGAUCCUGCCCAUGAAAUGUGCACACCUCUCCCAAAGCACAAUUCCACUGCUUCCACCAAUGUAGUGUUUUUUUGCAAACAGCAAUGGUGUAAUGCCCCUUUUUGUCUCAAACCCGGGUCUCCCUGCCCGUAGGCAAACAAAUAUAUUUUAGUGAAUUCAGGCAGUCGCCCCAAACAGGUUUUGGACCUGGGUCCAUCAACUGUCAAGCCAACACCUUAAGUGCUACGCCAAGAUGUCCAAACCUCUCGAUGUUGUCGCUCGGUGUUGGAUUAAAGUUGCUACAGAACGUGAGUCAGUUGAGACCUCCUUCCUUUGGGAGAGCAUGCCCCCACACGUCUUUAUAGCAAGUCUCUCACGUGUACACACAUCUUUGAUGGCUUCACAGGCACUUUCCCACUUCUGAUACCAAUGUAACAAAUUUGGGGGUAGCUCCAACUGGGCCUCGAACCCCGGUCCAGCGACUAGCAAGCCAACCUUAUCCAUUACACCAAGAGAUCAGCAGGUGGUAAGUGUUGGGUUAAGCUUGCUACAAUAUAUACAUAUAUAGGGCAAUGUGUGAUCUGGGUGAGGCAGCAUUGCCACUUAGUGCUCCCAACACAGCAAAACACAAUCUUUACCUUCUUUAACCUUAACUAACCUAAAGUCAAAUACAUUUAGACAAACCACCACGUGAGCAGCAAGUUUAGGGUUAAUGGAGUGAAGUGGGUAAUGGGUAGGACCACCAGUAUGAACUAUGUCUAUACAUGGAUGGAUGCUCUUCAUCAACACCAUCUUUUCUGUGAAACUAGAUAUCAGCAAUCAAUCAACAAGACUAAUGAAAUGGGGCAAAUGAAGACAUUAGAACUGCUAAAGAUCCAGAUCUAGGAUCAGCUUCCCCUCCCCAAACCUAACAAGGACCAUUCGCGGGGGGAAUUCAAACCUGAUUCAAAGCCAGGGUCUAUUUGGGGAACUUGUCCCCUCCCCCACAACACUACAUGUGGAUGCGGCUUCCUCAGUUCACCAUGCUCAUAAAGAAAACAGCAGUGUAUUUCAGCUGCAAGCCUGGGAAAGAACUGAGAAAACGUACUAAAGAGUCAAGACAGACACCAGAAAGAGGCCCAAGAAGACUUGGAUGCAGGAACAGAGGACAGCGAGGGAUGUUCAGAACUCACUCAGUCCGGUUUGGAGAAUGACUUCUCAACCCAAGACUAAGAGCAGCUGUAAGAAAGCAUCAGUUUGGAAGCAUUUGGGAAAAUGUAAAGUGCUAAAGAAGGUUCCCGGCAAAGAGGAUUGACUGUUAUGGGUCAGAGCCAGCUCUCACAAACAGCACAUGGAA